AGUGAACGCUGGCGGUAGGCCUAACACAUGCAAGUCGAACGGCAGCACAGUAAGAGCUUGCUCUUACGGGUGGCGAGUGGCGGACGCGUGAGGAAUACAUCGGAAUCUACUUUUUCGUGGGGGAUAACGUAGGGAAACUUACGCUAAUACCGCAUACGACCUACGGGUGAAAGCAGGGGAUCUUCGGACCUUGCGCGAUUGAAUGAGCCGAUGUCGGAUUAGCUAGUUGGCGGGGUGAAGGCCCACCAAGGCGACGAUCCGUAGCUGGUCUGAGAGGAUGAACAAGCCACAUGGAACCUGAGCACGGGUCAAGAUUCUAACGGAGGCAAGCGGUGGGAAUAUUGGACAAUGGGCGCAAGCCUGAUCCAGCCAUACCGCGUGGGUGAAGAAGGCCUUCGGGUUGUAAAGCCCUUUUGUUGGGAAAGAAAAGCAGCAGGUUAAUACCCCGCUGUUCUGACGGUACCCAAAGAAUAAGCACCGGCUAACUUCGUG
rnacentral:rRNA from 1 species